GGUAGGGUACCUGUUGUUUGUGGCCCAUGCUCGCAUCACAGCCCAGGACAUCCGCUGCAGAUUCUAUGGCCCCUGUGCAGUACAGAAUGUUUCACUCAAUGGUGUUCAGCAGCCACCACUCACAGAGGAAGCCAAUUUUGUGUUAUCCUGUUGUCCACUUCAACAUGGAAGAAAUGAGGUCAUCAUCAACACAGUACCAGCUCCAGGUUCAAAGGCCAAACUGGUAGUGUGCGCAUACAAAGCACAGCUAAUAGACUCCUAGAAUCGUGUGAAGAGAUUGUAAUGUCCCGGACAUGGACCUGUAUGGGGAAUGUCCCCACACACAAACUCGUUGGGGGAUGAGUCAAGUGUCCUGGACAGAAGAAGGAAAUCUCCACCGACUCCGUACCUGUUGAUCUCAUUCAUUGACUUGUGUUUCCCCUUCCACUGAUCUCGCAUAUGAAGACAAAAUGGAGAAAUGAUAAUUGAAGCCGUCAUUCUGAAGAUUUGAUGUUGACAAGUUUGAACAACAGUUGGAACCUAGUUCAUGUUUGUUCGUAAACUUUAAUAGUGUGUUAAAAUUCAGGUAUGAGGGAUUUGUGAUACAACAGACUGACACACAGGAACCAAGCUCCUGGUCACCUUAAGAGUGUUUACAUGUGUGAAAUAAUACAGAUGUGUGUACAGUCGCUGCUGAUACUAUGACUUGUUGAUCUGUACAGUAUUUGUGAUCCUUUGCCACUUUACAACUUUCAAAUCUGUGACCUCUGUAAGGCUCGGUUGCUACUUUUUUUUUUUAAAUGUGUAUGAAUUUGGCAGAGUUCUGUGUUUGAUUUGUGGUCCGACUGCACACUGACAAAUAUUUGAAGGGUGAGAAAUGAAUCCAUGUGAGGGAAAAUAUCUUCUAUAUUUGUUGGUGCAUACAACAUGCCAAAAUCUAAUCAGAAGGUGAAAUAAUGAAAUUUAAAGUUGUGACUCUAGCCCAGGCCAUUGGUCGAAAUAUGAAUGUAUAUAGAAAGGCCAAUAAGGUAUGGUAUCUGCAGUUACUAUGUACAGGUACAUGUUUGACAGGUGUGUGUAGAUAUGUACAGAUACAUGCUAAACCAGUAUUUACUUGUAGAUGCAAGAUACAGUAAAACAUGUUUAUAGCAAGGCUCGGGGACCCAAGUACUGUGUUCAUUAGAAUCGUAACUUGUAUAUGGUUAAACAAGUAACAUUACUAUAAGAGGGUUCAAAAUGAGUUUGUACUUAGUGCUUAUUUGUUACAAAUAUGUUUGCUGCAAAUAUAGUUUACUGUAUAUCAAUAACACAGGGCAAGUGUAGUAUGUGUGGUACAUACUCUGUACGUGUUACAUUAACAAGUUGUGUGUGUGAAAGCAGGUGGAAUAUUGAUGUAAAUUUUUACACAUCCAAUGUUUUGUACAGUUAAUUAUACCAGUACAACCAUGAAACUAUGUACAUCUUACCCAGCAUCUGUAUAUACUAGAAUCUAUCACUACACCAGUUACCAAUGUACGUACCUGUAUAAACAUAAGAACUAAGGAGGGCAAUCAGGACAGGUGUACAAUACAUUAUACCUAUCUCAUUCAAUCGUAAACAGUAUAUUUUACCUGUACAGAGCCAGUAUUUACCUUUUAAGAGUGAUAUUAAUUAUGUACAAACUCAUGUUGGAUAUUGUUAACAUCCCUUUGAAUCAUCACUAUAUGCAUUACAAUGCAAACAGCUUCGUACAUUAUCAGGCGACAUCCCAGUGACAUCCCCAUCAUGCCAAUUCUACACAGGAUUGUUAUCCAAUUAAUCUGUAUUUCUGGAAGUCUUCUCGACAGAUGAGACGUAAUCUGUCCGGCUCAUAUGAUCCUGUCUACUUGAUAAAUAAGAUCGAAAAAGGUCAUAGCUAUGGUGAUCAGAUUUCAAAAAAGUGAACACUGUUUUAAUGAUCUAGAAUAAAGUUUGAUUUGUUGACAAAAAUCAAAGAUUGGAAAUUAACAUACAACUGAAAAAUAUUCUAAGAUUAUCAGAUUUGUUAGAUUCCAAAAUGAUGAAUGUAAAUGAUUGUGAUAUUUUAAGUGAUGGUUACAUACUGUGCCCUCACUGUCUUUGCUAAUUGUAUAUAUUUCUCUUCAUUGUAUUGUUAAAUAAGCCCAUUCUAGUUGACAUAUAGUAAGCUCACCUUUAAUUAAGUAUUCAUAGAAUUAUUCUAGAAUUUUAUGGAAAUUAAAUUUUUAUUGUCUGGAAUUUGGUUGAAAACUUUCAAUUAGAAACUGAAAAUAAUUUUGAGAAAUUUGAAAAUUAAAAUUUAAGCAACAAUUUGGAUUUAGGAAUACUAUCUCAAAUAUAAUUGUUAGACUAACACGGAAAGUUUGUAACAUCAGAUUUUUUUUCAUAAAGUAUCCCCAGUAUGUUUUGUAUAUUUUCCUUAGUAUAUAUUGCAGUGAUUAUGUGAAGUUAUGUAUUUUUGAUAGUAAAUAUUGCUCUGUAGCAUCAGUCUUGUUGGAAAGCAGUUAAUUUGUGAUGUGGGCUACAUGGUGCUUUUCGUUUGCAAUAUUAUAAAAAAGAUGUUCUGGCACCACCCCUAGUAGGAUGCCGAGUGUUUUGUUAUAACUUUAUGUUAUGUAGUUUUGUGGAUGUGUUUGUGUUAUGUUUAGUCAUAUACACUCCAUUAACCCUCUCACCCCUGUAGACCAUAAUCGACUUAGCCAGAUCAUUGCAUGGCAACGUCUAUUUAAGUUACAUAGGGGUGAGAGGGUUAAGUUGUUUAUAACAAAAUAUAUCAAUAACUAUAUAAGGUGGCACAAUUUGUACAAAAUAUAGUAAACAACAAAUUAUUUACAUAUUUGCUCAACGUUUUUCAUUCUUAAUUCUUUAUUAAAGAACAGAAAUACUAAAAGCACAGUGGCUAAAAUUAACUCAGGAA